rnacentral:rRNA from 1 species
GGGUUGUGAGGUUAAGUGACUAAGCGUACACGGUGGAUGCCUAGGCAGUCAGAGGCGAUGAAGGGCGUGCUAAUCUGCGAAAAGCGUCGGCAAGGUGAUAUGAACCGUUAUACCCGACGAUACCCGAAUGGGGAAACCCAGUGCAAUCCGUUGCACUAUCAUGUCAUGAAUACAUAGUGGCAUGAGGCGAACCGGGGGAACUGAAACAUCUCAGUACCCCGAGGAAAAGAAAUCAACCGAGAUUCCCCCAGUAGCGGCGAGCGAACGGGGAGGAGCCCAGAACCUGAAUCAGUUUGAGUCUUAGUGGAAGCGUCUGGAAAGUCGCACGACAGAGGGUGAUAGUCCCGUACACGAAGAGGCAUGAGCUGUGAGUUCGACGAGUAGGGCGGGACACGUGUUAUCCUGUCUGAAUAUGGGGGGACCAUCCUCCAAGGCUAAAUACUCCUGACUGACCGAUAGUGAACCAGUACCGUGAGGGAAAGGCGAAAAGAACCCCGGCGAGGGGAGUGAAAUAGAACCUGAAACCGUGUACGUACAAGCAGUGGGAGCAUCCUUCGGGGUGUGACUGCGUACCUUUUGUAUAAUGGGUCAGCGACUUAUAUUCUGUAGCAAGGUUAACCGCAUAGGGGAGCCGCAGGGAAACCGAGUCUUAACUGGGCGUUAAGUUGCAGGGUAUAGACCCGAAACCCGGUGAUCUAGCCAUGGGCAGGUUGAAGGUUGGGUAACACUAACUGGAGGACCGAACCGACUAAUGUUGAAAAAUUAGCGGAUGACUUGUGGCUGGGGGUGAAAGGCCAAUCAAACCGGGAGAUAGCUGGUUCUCCCCGAAAGCUAUUUAGGUAGCGCCUCGUGAAUUCAUCUUCGGGGGUAGAGCACUGUUUCGACUAGGGGGCCAUCCCGGCUUACCAACUCGAUGCAAACUGCGAAUACCGAAGAAUGUUAUCACGGGAGACACACGGCGGGUGCUAACGUCCGUCGUGAAGAGGGAAACAACCCAGACCGCCAGCUAAGGUCCCAAAGUCAUGGUUAAGUGGGAAACGAUGUGGGAAGGCCCAGACAGCCAGGAUGUUGGCUUAGAAGCAGCCAUCAUUUAAAGAAAGCGUAAUAGCUCACUGGUCGAGUCGGCCUGCGCGGAAGAUGUAACGGGGCUAAACCAUGCACCGAAGCUGCGGCAGCGACGCUUAGGCGUUGUUGGGUAGGGGAGCGUUCUGUAAGCCUGCGAAGGUGGCCUGUGAGGGCUGCUGGAGGUAUCAGAAGUGCGAAUGCUGACAUAAGUAACGAUAAUGCGGGUGAAAAACCCGCACGCCGGAAGACCAAGGGUUCCUGUCCAACGUUAAUCGGGGCAGGGUGAGUCGACCCCUAAGGCGAGGCCGAAAGGCGUAGUCGAUGGGAAACAGGUUAAUAUUCCUGUACUUGGUGUUACUGCGAAGGGGGGACGGAGAAGGCUGGGUUAUCCGGGCGACGGUUGUCCCGGUUUAAGCGUGUAGGUGGGUGUUUUUGGUAAAUCCGGAACACCGUUAACACUGAGGCGUGAUGACGAGUCACUACGGUGAUGAAGUAACCGAUGCCAAGCUUCCAGGAAAAGCCUC